rnacentral:rRNA from 1 species
AGUUCAGAUCGCAGUCUGCAACUCGACUGCGUGAAGUCGGAAUCGCUAGUAAUCGCGGAUCAGCAUGCCGCGGUGAAUACGUUCCCGGGCCUUGUACACACCGCCCGUCACACCAUGAGAGUCGGGAACACCCGUAGUCCGUAGCCUAACUUUAACGAGGGGCGCGGCCGAAGGUGGGUUCGAUAAUUGGGGUGAAGUCGUAACAAGGUAUC